rnacentral:rRNA from 1 species
UACGUAGGGGGCAAGCGUUGUCCGGAAUCAUUGGGCGUAAAGAGCGUGUGGGUGGCUCGGUAAGUCCGCUGUAAAAGUCCGGGGCUCAACCCUGGAAAGCCGGUGGAAACUGUCGAGCUAGAGUCCGGAAGAGGCGAGUGGAAUUCCUGGUGUAGCGGUGAAAUGCGCAGAUAUCAGGAGGAACACCAAUGGCGAAGGCAGCUCGCUGGGACGGUACUGACACUGAGACGCGAAAGCGUGGGGAGCAAACAGG